UGAAUUGCUAGUUGAGCAAAGAGAUCUCAAUCAAGAUCCAAAUUUAUAGUUAUAACAUUCUUACGCGUCUUCUUUUUCAUUGACUUUUCCGUUUCAAACUUCAAAAUUUUCUUUUCAUUUAUUUAUGAUGGUUCUUAAUCAAAAUACAAAAAAAAAAAAAAAAAAUCAAAAUACCAAGAGAGUGAAGUGGGAAAAUGGUCACAUAAAUUUUUCUUUUAAAUUUAUUAAAUGAAUGUAAUUAUGACAACAUGUUAUAUAUAUACGUCAUAUUUCUUCAAAUCAGAUCAUCA
rnacentral:lncRNA from 1 species